CCUACGGGUGGCAGCAGUGGGGAAUAUUGGACAAUGGGCGAAAGCCUGAUCCAGCCAUGCCGCGUGUGUGAAGAAGGCCUUCGGGUUGUAAAGCACUUUCAGUGGGGAAGAAAGCCUUGGGGCUAAUACCCUCGAGGAAGGACAUCACCCACAGAAGAAGCACCGGCUAACUCCGUGCCAGCAGCCGCGGUAAUACGGAGGGUGCGAGCGUUAAUCGGAAUUACUGGGCGUAAAGCGCGCGUAGGCGGUCUGAUAAGCCGGUUGUGAAAGCCCCGGGCACAACCUGGGAACGGCAUCCGGAACUGUCAGGCUAGAGGGCAGGAGAGGAAGGUAGAAUUCCCGGUGUAGCGGUGAAAUGCGUAGAGAUCGGGAGGAAUACCAGUGGCGAAGGCGGCCUUCUGGACUGACACUGACGCUGAGGUGCGAAAGCGUGGGUAGCAAACAGGAUUAGAUACCCUGGUAGUC
rnacentral:rRNA from 1 species